rnacentral:ncRNA from 1 species
AAACCCUGCUCGGUAUAAGAAGACCCGCAGGUUCAGAUUUAGUGUCUGUGCUUGGCUGAGAAGCCAAUCCUGUGAAGCCACCAUCUGUGGGAUUAUGCCUGAAUGCCUGUAAAGGGGAACCCACU